CACCUCUGCCUUUCCCUAUCACUUCCUAAGUCCAGUUUCCUCGGUUCAACUCCAAAGCCCUGAAGGAUAGGGGUCCAACCUUCAUUCUCCGUCUUGUGCUCUUAUUAGAACUAAGGCAGUCCUCAUGGACUCAUUUCACCGUAUUUAUUUUUGCAAAACGCACCCAACUGUUUGGUGAGAAAGCUAUCCAGCCACCUGCAUUUCUCUGGUCCUAAGAGAUCUGUUUGGAGACCUCUCAAACAAAUAUUUCAGUUGUCAACAUGACGUGAAGAGGUAAACCCUACAUGAAUAAGAGAUGAUAAUGCUUUAUCGCACAAGAGUAAUGCUGACUCUCCUUCUUGCCUGACACAGAUUGGAAAUGGGAUCGCUGAGGCUGUGGUUGGAAGGAGCCCAAUUUUAAGAGAGUUUUCUGACCUUUGUUUCUCCCUGUUUUCCAGGAUGGGGAUGGGAGAGAGAGAGAAAAAGAGAGAGUGUGUGCGUGCGUGUGCGUGUGCGUGUGCGUGUGUGUGUUGUGGGAGGGGUAGUUCCCCUGAGUCUGCAUUUUAGCCUUUCAUAUUCAUCCACAAGGUGCAGUCCUGAGUUCAGAGCAGGAGGCCUCCUCUCUUAGCUCUGGCUUUUUGGGUCCUUCCAGGUCCCAUGAAAGGGUUUCUAGGGACUUCAGUGCAGAGAUGUGCACAGAGCUGAUAAAAACGGGGCAAGGAACAGAACACGUGUGGCUUUUCCAGCAGGGAUGGUUCUUGUUUAAACUUUGGUUUUACAUUUGUUUUGAUAUUUGAAUUUGAAGGAAGGCCAGGAAAGAGGAAAAUCUGCAAUUAUAACUGCUCCUUAUUCUGUUAAAAUGAAGCUCUAAGAUGAAAUGGUAGGUUAAAACAAAGGCAAAACAGCAAUAGGCUCUGGGAUCAAGAGACCUGGGUUCCAGUUCAGGUUCUGUAACUGAGCAGGACCCUCUUGGGACACGUCCCUUGCCCCCAUCCCUUGCUUCAGCUCCUCUCUGAAGUACCUAGAUAAUAGUACCUGAUGUAGAUUUCCUGAGCUAUUUUACAGCACUUAUUGAAGGGACCGUCUUUUCUCCAUUGUAUAUUCUGGCCUCCUUUAUCAUAGAUUAGUUGACCACAGAUGCUUGGGUUCAAUUCUUGGCUUUCUAUCCUGUUCCACUGAUCUGUAUUUCUGUUUUUGUAUCAGUGCCAUACUAUUUUGAUGACUGUAGGUUUAUUGUACAGUCUGAAGCCAGGGACCCUGAUUUUUCCAGUCUGUUUUUCUUUCUCAAGAUUGCUUUGGCUAUUCAGGGUCUUUUGUGUUUCCAUUUGUACAAUGAAGAGGGUAGAAUUCAUGCUUUUGCCCUCUAGUCUGGUGCUGUUCAAUGAAGCUCCCCCCAGGGAUGGAAACAUUCUAUAACUGUGCCACCCAAGAUGGUAACCAUUAGCCAGACAGAGGUGAUGAAAUGUGGCUAGCAAGACCAGGAAUUGAAUUUUAACCUUAUUGAAUUUUAAUAAAUUUGAAUGCAAAUUAGUAAAUAGCCCCACAUGGCUAGUGGCUACCAUAUUGAAUAGCACACUCCCAGAUUCUGGGAAUCUACCAUGAGGAUUCCCAGACUAAAACUAUCUGUGUCCAUCUAUAGGUGGCAUUGGAAGGACAUUGUUAAGAGCAAUUAUAACACCAGCAGAUUCUAAUACCUGUGAAGUCAAGGAUCUUUUCUCUCUUGUUGUGUUUUCUCUCUAGAGCCUUGUGCACUAUGCGGCACAUAAUUUAUGAUCAAUAACAUUUGAGUGAACGAAUUAAUAAUCAUUCCCUGGGAUUCUUUCUUCUUUCUUCCUACCAGAUGCCUGAAAUUUCUCUAAAAGCAAAUAAAUCUGGAAGCUUUUGCAUUGUGGUAUCCACAAUUCAUCUUUUAAAAUGCAGCUACCUUGGUAAAGGUAUUGCAAUAAAGCCAUUAUUAGCAGCCUGCCUGCAUUCAUCUAUCUGAUUAGUGGAGCCCUGAAAGGGGUCAUACAAAGAAGAAGGCCAUUUUGAAAGUAGAGGGGGAAGGGAAAUGCUACAAUUCAAGGAGGUUAUGUUUUGUGUAAUGUUAUGUAUUUCCUUGUGUUGUCACGUGUGUCAGUCUAAGAACUUCUGGUUGUGUUUUGGCAUAGAUGUAUGCAAUAUACAGAUGGGAUUUCUGCAUCAUUAGAGAGUUGGGCCUCAUAUGACAGAAAUAAUAGUGAUAAUAAUAAUAAUAAUGUAGAAGAGGCGAAUUUCCCCUUCUUUUCCUUUUAGUUCUUUUGACUGGCAAUUAAAAUGACAUAAGGCAGUGGUUUCCAUGGUCCUUGCAUCAUUUCACUUAAGAGUCAAAGUCCUGGGAAAGAAUCUGAUUGGUUGAUAUUAGGUCAUGUGCCUGUCCCUACCUUAUUGGGGUUGUGAGAAAAAAUGAUCUGGCAGCAAUACCUAGCACACAAUAGCUGUUCCCUAUAUGAGCAGCUAUUGUUAUUAUUUUUGCCUUUCUCCUCUCUGUGCCUUAUUAUCUGUAACUCAGUGAAUCAUCUUAGAAUGUCUUUGCAACGUGGUUAUCCUGAAAACACCCACCUCAACACCCACCAGCUAAAUUUGCUUCUUCCCUAGCAACAAUAUAUGCAAUUUAGGUGUUAAACAGUGUGAUAACAGUUAUUUCAGUUCUUGCCAUAGUGUUUACCAAUUUUUAGAAGUCUUGCCCCCAGGUACUAUCACUCUAUGAAAAUGCUGCUCUAAGUUACUCUUCCUAAUACAACAAGCCAGAGCCUUAUCAGCUCUUCUGGCUGCUCACCCUAUUGGAAGCACAGCCAGGUCUUAACCAGUGGGGAAAGGAGCCUGGGAACAGGGCCCGUCAGGGGUGGAUCCUGAAGGGGUAGAGCCUGAUGGGGCAAACUGUUGGUUGGCAGAUCAGCCAGCUCAUAAACAGGCCCUAGAUCUUGCCUUCCUUUGGGCCUCAAAGUUGCACUUUGACACUUACUUUAAAAUGAUUCAUCAUUCUCAUCAAAACAUCAUGUUCAUGUAUUAUCUGAACAAAUAACUGAAAAAAUUCCACUACUGACAGUUAUACAAAGAGUAGAGCACUGCCUCUCCAGUCCCUCUAAAUAGUUUUGUCUUUUUCCCUCUAAUUUCCAUUUAAGGUCAGACUGGAGCAGGUGCCCCUCACCAUGACCACCCCCUCUAGCCCUUGCACACCUCUGCCAAAUCUUGGACAGGUUGGAUUAGCUUUGAAAGGGAAAGAGGUUUGGAGUUCCUGUAAUGGUACAGUGGUUAACGAAUCCGACUAGGAACCAUGAGGUUGUGGGUUCGAUCCCUGGCCUUGCUCAGUGGGUUAAGGAUCCGGCAAUGCUGUGAGCUGUGGUGUAGGUUGCAGAAGCGGUUCGGAUUCCAUGUUGCUGUGGCUCUGGUGUAGGCUGGCAGCUACAGCUCCAAUUGGACCCCUAGCCUGGGAACCUCCAUAUGCUGUGGGAGCAGCCCUAGAAAAGGCAAAG
rnacentral:lncRNA from 1 species